rnacentral:rRNA from 1 species
AUUGAACGCUGGCGGCAUGCCUUACACAUGCAAGUCGAACGGGCUUUGGGGCUUGCCUCAAAGUUAGUGGCGAACGGGUGAGUAAUAUAUCGGAACGUACCCUUGAGUGGGGGAUAACUAGUCGAAAGACUGGCUAAUACCGCAUACGAUCUACGGAUGAAAGUGGGGGACCGCAAGGCCUCAUGCUCGUGGAGCGGCCGAUAUCUGAUUAGCUAGUUGGUGGGGUAAAGGCCUACCAAGGCGACGAUCAGUAGCUGGUCUGAGAGGACGAUCAGCCACACUGGGACUGAGACACGGCCCAGACUCCUACGGGAGGCAGCAGUGGGGAAUUUUGGACAAUGGGCGAAAGCCUGAUCCAGCAAUGCCGCGUGAGUGAAGAAGGCCUUCGGGUUGUAAAGCUCUUUUGUCAGGGAAGAAAAGGCCUGGGCUAAUAUCCUGGGUCCAUGACGGUACCUGAAGAAUAAGCACCGGCUAACUACGUGCCAGCCGCCGCUGUAA